ACGCUGGCGGCGUGCCUAAUACAUGCAAGUCGAGCGAAGUUUUUCUGGUGCUUGCACUAGAAAAACUUAGCGGCGAACGGGUGAGUAACACGUAAAGAACCUGCCUCAUAGACUGGGACAACUAUUGGAAACGAUAGCUAAUACCGGAUAACAGCAUUAACUGCAUGGUUGAUGUUUAAAAGUUGGUUAUGCUAACACUAUGAGAUGGCUUUGCGGUGCAUUAGCUAGUUGGUGGGGUAAAGGCCUACCAAGGCGACGAUGCAUAGCCGACCUGAGAGGGUGAUCGGCCACACUGGGACUGAGACACGGCCCAGACUCCUACGGGAGGCAGCAGUAGGGAAUCUUCCGCAAUGGGCGAAAGCCUGACGGAGCAACGCCGCGUGAGUGAAGAAGGAUUUCGGUUCGUAAAGCUCUGUUGUUAGGGAAGAAUGAUUGUGUAGUAACUAUACACAGUAGAGACGGUACCUAACCAGAAAGCCACGGCUAACUACGUGCCAGCAGCCGCGGUAAUACGUAGGUGGCAAGCGUUGUCCGGAAUUAUUGGGCGUAAAGCGCGCGCAGGUGGUUUAAUAAGUCUGAUGUGAAAGCCCACGGCUCAACCGUGGAGGGUCAUUGGAAACUGUUAAACUUGAGUGCAGGAGAGAAAAGUGGAAUUCCUAGUGUAGCGGUGAAAUGCGUAGAGAUUAGGAGGAACACCAGUGGCGAAGGCGGCUUUUUGGCCUGUAACUGACACUGAGGCGCGAAAGCGUGGGGAGCAAACAGGAUUAGAUACCCUGGUAGUCCACGCCGUAAACGAUGAGUGCUAAGUGUUGGUCUCAUAAGAGAUCAGUGCUGCAGCUAACGCAUUAAGCACUCCGCCUGGGGAGUACGACCGCAAGGUUGAAACUCAAAGGAAUUGACGGGGGACCCG
rnacentral:rRNA from 1 species